CGUAGUCGAUGGGAAACGGGUUAAUAUUCCCGUACUUGGUGUUACUGCGAAGGGGGGACGGAGAAGGCUAUGUUGGCCGGGCGACGGUUGUCCCGGUUUAAGCGUGUAGGUGUGUGUUCCAGGUAAAUCCGGUUCACUUUAACACUGAGGCGUGACGACGAGGCACUACGGUGCUGAAGCAACAAAUGCCCUGCUUCCAGGAAAAGCCUCUAAGCAUCAGGUAACAUCAAAUCGUACCCCAAACCGACACAGGUGGUCAGGUAGAGAAUACCAAGGCGCUUGAGAGAACUCGGGUGAAGGAACUAGGCAAAAUGGUGCCGUAACUUCGGGAGAAGGCACGCUGACAC
rnacentral:rRNA from 1 species